rnacentral:rRNA from 1 species
GAUGAACGCUGGCGGCGUGCCUAACACAUGCAAGUCGAACGGAGACCAGAAGCAACUUCCUUCGUUUCUAACGGGGGGAGGAUGUGUGGCUGAUGUGUGGGAAACACCUCGACGACGGGGGUUAAAUAGGGGAAACGGUGGUAAAAACUUCAUAUAGUAGCAAGAAAACAGAGACGGACGUAAGGGCGGGUUUGAAAAGAGUAUCGCCAGAUGGGAGUCGCUAGUAGGUGGAGUCACGGCUCACCUAGGCGACGUUCCAAAGCUGGUCUGAGAGGAUGACCAGCCACACUGGAACUGAGACACGGUCCAGACUCCUACGGGAGGCAGCAGCGGGGAAUAUUGCACAAUGGGCGCAAGCCUGAUGCAGCCAUGCCGCGUGUAUGAAGAAGGCCUUCGGGUUGUAAAGUACUUUCAGCGGGGAGGAAGGGAGUAAAGUUAAUACCUUUGCUCAUUGACGUUACCCGCAGAAGAAGCACCGGCUAACUCCGUG